CAUAGGUUAAUGAGGCGAACCGGGGGAACUGAAACAUCUAAGUACCCCGAGGAAAAGAAAUCAACCGAGAUUCCCCCAGUAGCGGCGAGCGAACGGGGAGCAGCCCAGAGCCUGAAUCAGUGUGUGUGUUAGUGGAAGCGUCUGGAAAGGCGCGCGAUACAGGGUGACAGCCCCGUACACAAAAAUGCACAUGCUGUGAGCUCGAUGAGUAGGGCGGGACACGUGGUAUCCUGUCUGAAUAUGGGGGGACCAUCCUCCAAGGCUAAAUACUCCUGACUGACCGAUAGUGAACCAGUACCGUGAGGGAAAGGCGAAAAGAACCCCGGCGAGGGGAGUGAAAAAGAACCUGAAACCGUGUACGUACAAGCAGUGGGAGCACGCUUAGGCGUGUGACUGCGUACCUUUUGUAUAAUGGGUCAGCGACUUAUAUUCUGUAGCAAGGUUAACCGAAUAGGGGAGCCGAAGGGAAACCGAGUCUUAACUGGGCGUUAAGUUGCAGGGUAUAGACCCGAAACCCGGUGAUCUAGCCAUGGGCAGGUUGAAGGUUGGGUAACACUAACUGGAGGACCGAACCGACUAAUGUUGAAAAAUUAGCGGAUGACUUGUGGCUGGGGGUGAAAGGCCAAUCAAACCGGGAGAUAGCUGGUUCUCCCCGAAAGCUAUUUAGGUAGCGCCUCGUGAAUUCAUCUCCGGGGGUAGAGCACUGUUUCGGCAAGGGGGUCAUCCCGACUUACCAACCCGAUGCAAACUGCGAAUACCGGAGAAUGUUAUCACGGGAGACACACGGCGGGUGCUAACGUCCGUCGUGAAGAGGGAAACAACCCAGACCGCCAGCUAAGGUCCCAAAGUCAUGGUUAAGUGGGAAACGAUGUGGGAAGGCCCAGACAGCCAGGAUGUUGGCUUAGAAGCAGCCAUCAUUUAAAGAAAGCGUAAUAGCUCACUGGUCGAGUCGGCCUGCGCGGAAGAUGUAACGGGGCUAAACCAUGCACCGAAGCUGCGGCAGCGACGCUUAUGCGUUGUUGGGUAGGGGAGCGUUCUGUAAGCCUGCGAAGGUGUGCUGUGAGGCAUGCUGGAGGUAUCAGAAGUGCGAAUGCUGACAUAAGUAACGAUAAAGCGGGUGAAAAGCCCGCUCGCCGGAAGACCAAGGGUUCCUGUCCAACGUUAAUCGGGGCAGGGUGAGUCGACCCCUAAGGCGAGGCCGAAAGGCGUAGUCGAUGGGAAACAGGUUAAUAUUCCUGUACUUGGUGUUACUGCGAAGGGGGGACGGAGAAGGCUAUGUUGGCCGGGCGACGGUUGUCCCGGUUUAAGCGUGUAGGCUGGUUUUCCAGGCAAAUCCGGAAAAUCAAGGCUGAGGCGUGAUGACGAGGCACUACGGUGCUGAAGCAACAAAUGCCCUGCUUCCAGGAAAAGCCUCUAAGCAUCAGGUAACAUCAAAUCGUACCCCAAACCGACACAGGUGGUCAGGUAGAGAAUACCAAGGCGCUUGAGAGAACUCGGGUGAAGGAACUAGGCAAAAUGGUGCCGUAACUUCGGGAGAA
rnacentral:rRNA from 1 species